GACGAACGCUGGCGGUGUGCUUAACACAUGCAAGUCGAACGGUAAGGCCCUUUCGGGGGUACACGAGUGGCGAACGGGUGAGUAACACGUGAGUAACCUGCCCUCAUCUCUGGGAUAACAGUCGGAAACGGUUGCUAAUACUGAUAUGAGCUUGCAAGGCAUCUUGUGGGUUGGAAAGAUUUUUUUUGGUUGGGGAUGGACUCGCGGCCUAUCAGCUUGUUGGUGAGGUAGUGGCUCACCAAGGCUUCGACGGGUAGCCGGCCUGAGAGGGCGACCGGCCACAUUGGGACUGAGAUACGGCCCAAACUCCUACGGGAGGCAGCAGUGGGGAAUAUUGCACAAUGGACGGAAGUCUGAUGCAGCAACGCCGCGUGCGGGAUGACGGCCUUCGGGUUGUAAACCGCUUUCAAUUGUGACGAAGCUUUUUUGUGACGGUAGCAGUAGAAGAAGCACCGGCUAACUACGUG
rnacentral:rRNA from 1 species